AUAUAAUCAACCUUCUCUUGUUUUGAGAGCGGUUUGGAUGUGGGGGUUUGCUGGCCUGUCUUAAAAGGUUCAGCUCUCCUGAAAUGCAUUAGCAGAAUGACCUUUGCUCAUUGGUGUGAUAACUAUCUACGCUUUUGAAUACGAGGGGCAGUUCAGCUUUCUAAUGGUCUUUGGACAAUUCAUCAUUA
rnacentral:misc_RNA from 1 species